rnacentral:lncRNA from 1 species
UGUCCAUGUAGGUUGCCGUUCAACAGCAGGAGAGCCAGGCCAGAGGAAAUCCCCAGCGGGUCUUCUGACAGCAGCUAGAAAAGGAAGCAGCACAGGGCCCGGGGAACCGGCAGAGGACAAGCAUGAUACCACCUAUGAACUAACUGCUCGGCAACUGUCAUAUUAGUGGGAAACAGCAACUGUGAUUGAUUUUAUAAACUGGAAGACAUCUGGGCUUCAUGUAUCAAGAGCUCUCUUCCCCAUGUCUGUGCUGUGGCACUGAUUGGUGAAGUUCCUGAAGCCAGCGCAGGGAUACCAGGAAAGCUGGUCUCCAAGGAGGAGUGGGAUGACGGGGUUUCCCUCUCCCCGGGCAUGAAGGAGCUCUGCUUCUAGAUUCUGAGAGGCCCCGUUCUGGCCGCUCCUUUGAACCCCAGACUGAGGUUCUGAGCCAGUGUGUGGAGGUCCCAGAGACAGCUGAUCAGCAAAUUUGCUUUAUGGAUCGGUUUUGAGAAGGAUAAAUAAAGAGAACGGAGUUACAGGACAGCACUAAAGCACUUCUGAGGGAACGAAUCCAGAAUGGCCAUGCUAGCCUGCAAAGCAAAAUGUGGAAUCUUCCAUUUCAGCAAGUGAAAGGGACUUCCCACAGGGCCGGGACCUCCUUCCCACCUGCCCACGGCCACGGGCAGAGACAAGAAGCCAGGAAGGUGACACGCUCUGCCUCGCGUGUCCUCCCUCCGUGGCUGCCUUUGUUGUUGACACUGUUCCCACUGCGUUUAUUAGGCGACACUGCUUGCAAAGCUUUCUUUCUCCUGCUGCCUGUUGCUAGGGAAUGAGUCUUAAUCACUUCAAGAGAACAACAGCAGCCACAAGCCUCACUUGGCAGGGAGCAAGCACAAAUGUCUCAGUUUGGUGACAAAGUAGAAAUAAUCCUUAAAAACAUCCUCAUUUACAUUUUCCCUCAGAAGGACGGCAACAUCCACCCCGUUGUGAAAUGUGUGUUUUCUUCAUCUCUAUCUUGGGGUUGGUGCCUUGGGAAAGGGUCUCACGUCUGUCCUGAACGUCUGCUCCUUGUCGCCAUGCCCUAGAGAAAAGCAAACCACAUCGUCAAAGCAUUUAGAAACACAAACCAAAGGAAGCCGGGUUUCCAGGCUCUAAGCAAAUGCUAUUUACCCACAAUUUAUUUCCAAGAAGUAACUUGGAAACCAUUGUCACUUUUCAUCGGGAUUCGUUUAGAAGCACAAUGUCAGAGUUGUACCAGUUACCUAUAUUUGCUUCUUGCCAGUGAUGAGCAAACGGCAACCUCUGUCCUCAAACCCAGACUCACCUCGAUUCGAUUCUCGGGAUGUGGCUCCCCUACCCUUUCAUGUGCCUUCCGUGGGGGUGGCCAGAGCUGGCCCCUGCUGGUCGCUGUGACUCAGAAGCUGGUGGAGAUGGAGUGAGCUGUUCUCUCGCUAGACGUUACCACCCGCACUACACAGAAGUCCAAAUGUCACUUUGUGGUUUGAAGGCACCUCCUUUACCUCUCCCUGGGAGGAUGGACCUUGUCACCAGGCAACAUGUAGGCCUCGUGCUUCAAGCUUCCUUCAAGUAGUCGAGUCCCGCGUGUCGAGACGGGCUCCACCAGGCUCU